UACGUAGGGUGCAAGCGUUGUCCGGAAUUUAUUGGGCGUAAAGAGCUCGUAGGCGGUUUGUCGCGUCUGCUGUGAAAACUCGGGGCUUAACUCCGGGCCUGCAGUGGGUACGGGGCAGACUAGAGUGCGGUAGGGGAGACUGGAAUUCCUGGUGUAGCGGUGAAAUGCGCAGAUAUCAGGAGGAACACCGGUGGCGAAGGCGGGUCUCUGGGCCGUAACUGACGCUGAGGAGCGAAAGCGUGGGGGAGCGAACAGG
rnacentral:rRNA from 1 species